CAUGGAGGGUGAGAAUCCCGUCCGGCUGACCUUCAGGACGUUUUACGAUACGCUCUCAAAGAGUCGAGUUGUUUGGGAUUGCAGCUCAAAAUGGGAGGUAAAUUUCUCCUAAGGCUAAAUACCGGCGAGAGACCGAUAGCGAACAAGUACCGUGAGGGAAAGAUGAAAAGAACUUUGAAAAGAGAGUUAAACAGUACGUGAAAUUGUUGAAAGGGAAACGAUUGAAGUCAGUCGUACCAGCGGGAAAUCAACCUUUCGAGUGGGGGUUUGGAGUCUUGAAGUGUGUCAAAACCUUUGAGAUUUCAAAAUUUUCGCUCUUUUGGUGUACUUUCUCGUAGGUAGGUUAACAUCGAUUUUGAUCAUCAUAAAAGGAUUGUAGGAAUGUAGCUUCGAUCUCGUAUUGAAGUGUUAUAGCCUUUGGUAAAUGUGAUGAUUAGGAUCGAGGAUUGCAACGAAUACCCUUUUGGGCUAUCCGCCUGAUCUCUGAUACGUGACCUUGGUAUCGAAAGCGUGCUUAUGGUAUUAAGGUAUUACGGUCAAAAGGUUAGAACGGAUUACAUUCGUUAAGGAUGUUGACGUAAUGG
rnacentral:rRNA from 1 species